rnacentral:rRNA from 1 species
CCGCUUAAGUGCGUAGCGCGGUUACGCUGUCAUGCCUGGAAUAUUUACUGGGAGGAUUGACAGAUUGAGAGCUCUUUCUUGAUUCGGUGGAUGGUGGUGCAUGGCCGUUCUUAGUUGGUGGAGCGAUUUGUCUGGUUAAUUCCGAUAACGAACGAGACUCUAGCCUAUUAAAUAGGUGCGGGGUUCCCAGCACCUUACAACCUUCUUAGAGGGACAAGCGGCUCCUAGCCGCACGAAACAGAGCAAUAACAGGUCUGUGAUGCCCUUAGAUGUCCGGGGCCGCACGCGCGCUACACUGAAGGAAGCAGCGUGUCUUUAUCCCUGUCUGAAAAGACUGGGUAACCCGUGGAACUUCUUUCGUGAUUGGGAUAGGGGCUUGCAAUUGUUCCCCUUGAACGAGGAAUUCCCAGUAAGCGCGAGUCAUAAGCUCGCGUUGAUUACGUCCC